UACGAGGGGGGCAAGCGUUGUUCGGAAUUAUUGGGCGUAAAGGGCGCGUAGGCGGUGCGGUAAGUCACCUGUGAAAACUCUGGGCUCAACUCAGAGCCUGCAGGCGAAACUGCCGUGCUUGAGUGUGGGAGAGGUGCGUGGAAUUCCCGGUGUAGCGGUGAAAUGCGUAGAUAUCGGAAGGAACACCUGUGGCGAAAGCGGCUCACUGGACCAUAACUGACGCUGAGGCGCGAAAGCUAGGGGAGCAAACAGG
rnacentral:rRNA from 1 species